rnacentral:rRNA from 1 species
AUUGAACGCUGGCGGCAUGCCUUACACAUGCAAGUCGAACGGCAGCACGGACUUCGGUCUGGUGGCGAGUGGCGAACGGGUGAGUAAUAUAUCGGAACAUACCUUGUAGUGGGGGAUAACUAUCCGAAAGGAUAGCUAAUACCGCAUACGAUCUAAGGAUGAAAGCGGGGGAUCUUCGGACCUCGUGCUAUAAGAGUGGCCGAUAUCUGAUUAGCUAGUUGGUGAGGUAAAGGCUCACCAAGGCGACGAUCAGUAGCUGGUCUGAGAGGACGAACAGCCACACUGGAACUGAGACACGGUGCAGACUCCUACGGGAGGAAGCAGUGGGGAAUUUUGGACAAUGGGGGCAACCCUGAUCCAGCAAUGCCGCGUGAGUGAAGAAGGCCUUCGGGUUGUAAAGCUCUUUUGUCAGGGAAGAAACGGUUGUGGCUAAUAUCCAUGGCUAAUGACGGUACCUGAAGAAUAAGCACCAGCUAACUACGUGCCAGCCGCCGCGGUAAAAC